GGCAAACCAUAGGAGCAGGAGAAGGACACCUUCUUACCACUCACUGCUGUUUGGUUGCCGUCAGCCUUGACUGGUGCUGAGGACGGAGGGAGGGGAGGAGAGGAGAGAGCAGGAGAAGACGGAGAGGGAGCAGCCAUGGUUCUCUAGAAAUAUAAAAAAUUAUGUCAGAAAUGCUACUAACUAGAUCAUGCAUGGGCAAACUACGGCCCGGGGGCCAGAUGUGACCCGUUUGUAUGUUUAAUCCGGCCCACCAAGCUAUGUCACAGUGAGGCAGAUUUGACCCUGCUUCGGACCAGAGGGGUGCAGCUCAAAGAUGCAGGUGUAGCAGCCUUCGUCGCGGAAGCUCACCCUGUGCAGGGUGAUGGCCGAGGAGUCCUUGGGAGAAGAGGCCAACUCUACG